rnacentral:rRNA from 1 species
UACGUAGGUCCCGAGCGUUGUCCGGAUUUAUUGGGCGUAAAGCGAGCGCAGGUGGUUUAUUAAGUCUGGUGUAAAAGGCAGUGGCUCAACCAUUGUAUGCAUUGGAAACUGGUAGACUUGAGUGCAGGAGAGGAGAGUGGGAUUCCAUGUGUAGCGGUGAAAUGCGUAGAUAUAUGGAGGAACGCCGGUGGCGAAAGCGGCUCUCUGGCCUGUAACUGACACUGAGGCUCGAAAGCGUGGGGAGCAAACAGG